ensembl:misc_RNA Metazoa_SRP Metazoan signal recognition particle RNA
GCCGGGUGCGGUGGCUCACGCCUGUAAUCCCAGCACUUUGGGAGGCUGAGGCAGGUGGAUCACUUGAGGUCAGGAGUUCGAGACCGGCCUGACCAACAUGGUGAAACCCUGUCUCUA